rnacentral:misc_RNA from 1 species
UUUCCGUAGGUGAACCUGCGGAAGAAUCAUUACAGAGUUCAUGCCCUCACGGGUAGAUCUCCCACCCUUGAAUAUUUAUACCUUAGUUGCUUUGGCAGGCCGUGGAAACACCAUGGGCUCCGGCUUAUGCGUGCCUGCCAGAGGAAACAAACUCUGUUUUUAGUGAUGUCUGAGUACUAUAUAAUAGUUAAAACUUUCAACAACGGAUCUCUUGGUUCUG